rnacentral:tRNA from 1 species
GGGCCCGUAGCUUAGUGGUAGAGCGCUCGACCGAUAACCGGGAGGUCGUGGGUUCGAUACCCACCGGGCCCACCA